GUCCGCUCUGGGCGCACGUGCAGCAGGCCCUGGCCGGGGCUGCCCGGGUUCGUCCGAGUCGCAGGCUGUGUCCCGCGUGGCCGGCGCUCAGGCGAUGGCGGCGGGGGCGCGCGUGUUCCUAGAGGUGCGGAGCCGGCUGCGGAGAGCGCUGCUGAUCGUGGGAGAGCCGAAAGGAGGAGGAAUGCCCAUGGACGUUACAAUAACUCCCUUCUCCCUCCGGUUGAUAAUCCCUGAGGGCUGCACGGAGAUCUGGCUGCCAGCAGAGGUCAGGCUUGUACCUUCCUCUUGCCGUGGGCUGCAGUAUGUCGCUGGGGAUGGACUACACCUGCGGCUGCAGGCACAGGCCGAGUUCAGCACAAAACUGAUUUCAAUCUUUAAUCAGAGCUCACAAGCCCAAGAAUGUUGCACAUUUUAUUGCCAGUCCUGCGGUGAAGUCAUAAUAAGGGACAGGAAGCUCCUCAGAGUGCUCCCACUGCCCAGUGAGAACUGGGGCGCUCUAGUUGAAGAGUGGUGCUGUCAUCCUGACCCCUUUGCUAAUAAGCUCCUUCAUCCGCGAGAGAAUGACUGCUUUAUUGGAGACUCCUUCUUUUUGGUGAAUUUGAGAAGCAACUUGCAGCAGGAACCAAAAGCAAAUACCAAAGUAAUUUGUAAGCGUUGCAAAGUAGUGUUGGGAGAGACUGUGUCAUCAGAAACCACUAAGUUUUAUAUGACAGAGGUAAUUAUUCAGCCAUCUGAGAGAAGUUUUUCUAUCAUACCGAGGUCUCAAUUUGUCCAGAGUAUUGUUGCACAGUGUCUGGUGGAACUCUCCUCAGCUAGAAGCACUUUUAGAUACACUAUUCAAGAUCAGGAUGGCAAAGUGUACAUCUUGCUCUGGCUUUUAAACUUAGACAGUUUGGUGAUUGAAUCUUUGAGAAGUUCCAAGCAUAUCACAAAGUUCCCCUUAUUUGAAGACACAUUGAAAUCAGACUCCAGUCCUGCCUGGAAUGCUGUCAAAGUCCUAUACCAGCCAUGCAUCAAAAGUAGGAAUAAAAAGCUUGCCAGUUUGUGGGAAAGUGACAUCAGCGUUCACUCUUUGACCCUGCCCUCUGCAACCUGCCUGGAACUGCUGUUGAUACUAUCAAGGAGCAAUGCCAUGCUGCCUCCAUCCCUUCGCCAAAUGAAUUCCUUUCAGACUUUUUUCUCAGCACUCUGCACUCCAGAUGUUUAAUUGUACUCCUGGUACAACUUGGUGCUGCUGAUACAAACUGACCAACAGGAAGAUUGUUUCCCUGUUGAGACAAUUAAUUGUCACAUACAGUAGCAGAUGAGAAUUGAGAUGUUAACUGAUGCCUUGAGUUGUGGCCCUAUAGUUACGAAAAGUGGCCUUUUUGAAGAUGUAACUGUUGGAGCUAAGGCAUUCUGCUCCCCCAGCAAACAGCUCUCCCUGACAGAGCAUGCUGAAGGCCAGCCCUGAACUCUAUGGGCAUCAAUCACAGAGAUUCAGAAUGAGAACAUUGCAUUGAUGUUUUGAGUGUACUUGUUUGCAUGUAUUCUUUAUAUAUGCUUUGGAUCUCUGAAAACCCAGGGCUGUGAAGAAAGUUGUAGUAGUAGGUUGUCAGCAGGUUAAGUAUAGAAGUUACAUCUCUACUCCCCACAGAGAGGAAUAUUCAAAUCUGUGCAGUGUCAGCACCACCUGGAAGGAUAUUAGCUAAUGGAGACCCAUCUGUCUUGUGUGGGAUGCAGCAAGGGACUUUAUUUGUGGAACUCAGUAUGAGCUGCCAUAAAUCUGAGGAAAUAAACUUUUAAAGAGCUUCUUAGGUUUGUUUAACGUAACUUUAAAAACAAAAAUAUAGAACUUUUUAUACCUUAUUCAGAGGAGAUGCUCAGGAGAUAUUUGUUGAAUGAAUGAUUAUCCAAUUAAAGGUCUCUCUGUGCAAGCCUA